AUAGUCAUACUUUUAUGCACUGGAGAGUCACUUUAAAAGACAACCAAUGUUCCUUUUUCCAAUAGUUCUCCGAAAAAUGAGUCGGCGUCCAAGGUUUGGAGUGACCGCUUCCUCUGUAGCUGGUCAGACCAUGCAGCUAGUCGGGUCAGAAGACGCUCUUACAGCAUUUCAACGAUUUUAUGACAGUGGAGAAGUAGGGGAUGUCCUCAGCGCUUUUGAUGCAGUCUGUGAAGGAUUAGAUUUACAUCCUGGACGAUACCCAGACUUCUUUCCUGUUCUCAAGGCCAGACUAGUCGAUAAACUCAGUUACCGGUAUACGGAACUAUGGAAGGUUCUGGAGAAAAGAGCAAAGAGAAGUAUUUAUGGAGGAAACAAGGUUUCCCAGGAGAUGAGAGUUCUUGUAAUUGGAGCAGGACCAUGUGGACUCAGGACUGCCAUUGAAUGCCAUCUAUUGGGAGCUAGAACUGUGGUAGUAGAGGAAACAACUUCAUUUAGUCGGAAUACAGUUUUGGAACUUUGGAAGUUUGUGGUAGAAGAUUUAAAGAUGUUGGGAGUAAAACAUCUAUUCAGUCGGUUAGGAUGUGGAACCACAGACCAUUUGUCCACCAAACUGCUUCAAACAGCACUUCUAAAGAUAUGUUGCCUGCUUGGUGUACAAGUGUACACUGGUGUCAAGUUUCAGAGUUUACUUGAACCGGAAGAUGAGCAGGGUUGGCAUGCAAGACUUGUUCCUGAGGAUCAUGAGGCUAGACAUUUCUCUUUUGAUGUCCUUGUGGGAGCUUCUGGUCUAGGCUUCUGUUUAGAUGGAUUCAACAGGGGUCGUGAAGAAGGAACUGAUGAGUUGACCUUAACAGCUAGUUUUCAGCAUGGUACCAGUCCAGAGGAAGUUCUUAUUUCAGAGUUAAACACUCUUAAAAGAAGCGUUAAUUCACAGUUUUAUAAAGAGUUAGACAGAGAUGUGAACUUAAAGGUGGAUAAUUUAACUUAUUACAGAGAUGACACUCAUUACUUUCAGUUUGACGUAAGUCCCGAGAAUUUGAUCAAGCAAAGAAUUUUGAAAGAGAACUUUCCCUGCAGGAACCGACUGCUAUCCAAGUCCAACAUAGAUACCGAGGUCCUCAAAAAAGAAGUAAUUGAGAUUUGCAAAUUUGCAACAAGAUAUCAUUCCAGACAACUCCCACAUUCAAACCUGGCAAAAAACAGCCUUGGACAGGAUGAUAUUAAUCUUGUGGAUUGCUCAAAAAGAUAUUAUUCUAAGGAGGCAGGAAGAGCUAUUAUCCGUAAAGGAUUCCCUCUACUGCUCAGCCUAGUGGGGGAUACACUCUCAAACUUCACCUGGGAGAACGGUUUAGGCAUGGCAAGGGGUUGGUUGAGUUGCUUGGAUUCUGCCUGGAUGGUCAGGGCCUGGAGUUUACAGGCCAACCCUCUUCAGGUUUUAGAGGAGAGAGAGGAAUUAUAUAAAGUUCUCACAAAGCUAAAGAAUCCUACAGAGCUAAGUAAAAAUAUCAAGAAGUACCAGCUGAACCCACGGUCUAGAUAUUUUCUGCCAGUAUCAGAAGAUGAGGAUAAGCAGAGAAUAAUUUCCCUUUAUCAAACUGAUAACAAGGAGGAGAUAAGGUAUCUUGAAGAAAAAUAUUUGUCGAAAGGAUAUUUUGCAAACUUGGCUUAUUCUAACCUUCUUCAUAGAUACAAAUCUACUAAACCAAACCCAGGUAGGGAGGGAGGAAGAAAAAUAAAACAGUCAUUGAGAAGGAAAAGUUUCCACCUGAAGGAGAAGAUACUCUUGAAGCUCGGGAAAACUGAGAAAUCUGUUGAUCCUGAACUGGAAGACAAGGUGUCUCAGUUUAAACUGCAAAACCAGGAGGUUCAAUUGUUAAAUAAAUCAGUUUUGAAUUAUGUGAAGGCUCUGGAGGCUGUCAGGUCAGCUGAGGCUGACCUUUUUCACACUUGGUCUCUGAACAUUCAGGAUUGGAGUAAUCUCGAGAGCUUUCUCCAGAACACUGAAGCUAUCCAGGCUCGUCGCCAGCAGAAUAUUGAAGUACUUGAGAAGGAGGUUGUUCUAACUCUUAAUACUUAUUCAAGACAGUUUCAGGAAGUAAAAGGGAGAGUGGAUAAAAGUGAAAUAUUAAGAAUAUCAGCGGAUCAGGAUAAAUUCCAUCUGGGGAAACUUAAAGCAGUGGAAUCUACAGAAAGGUCCAUUAUUGAAGAUGCGGAGAAAAAGCAAAAAAAAUCGGAGGAUUCAUAUUCCUCAGUGAGAGAUGAGCUGACCAGCCUCCUGCCCAACCUCUACGGGAUCAGAAGAGAGUUCUUCGCCACAAGCCUCUACUCCCUCUUCCUACAGCAGAAUACCCUUCACACAGACCUCUCCUAUAUUUACAGGUUUGACAACCUUCUAUGCUGCAAAUACAACCAAGGCCUUGAAUCUUCAAGAUUGUUUGUUCAAGUGUGUUGCUUUACCAAACUGUGACAUCCUGGAAUUCCAGGAUGGACAGUGCACUACAGGACAAACCAUUGGUAAAAGAAAUGUGGGAAGUUACAGUUCUUCUAAGACUUGGAAGAUUGUAAGACCUGCAGUGCCCACAGUGGAUUCUAGUGAGGAAUGCGGGUGUACAUGUGCCUCUACUAGGGGAUGUACUAGCUUUGAUUGGGAUAAUGGGAUUAAAGGAUGCUAUUUGAAGAAUGCUGUGGGUGAACCUACAGCAAACACGCAUUUGCUUUCUGGGGUUCUCAAUUGUUAAUAUCCUAAAUUAAUUUAUUAUCAAAAUUAAUUUAUUCAGUAUAAUAAAUGUGUUCUCUUCAUGUUUGAUUUUAAAUUGAUGUUACAAAAAUAUCAAUGUGAUAAAUUUACAUAUUGAUUUAUUGUUUAUAAUCUGACGUGAUUAAAUAGUGCCCAAAACAUGCAUGUUUUGUAAUAAACCUACGUGGGGUUACCCACAAAGGAUGAUAAAGUAAAGACAACUUGAAAUUCCAUGCAGUCGUCUUUAAAUUCUCAUCCUUUGUGUGUAACUUUGUUUAGUACUUAAAAAAUCUAGAAAUAUUGAUGUCAAAGAUGCCCAAAAGAAGUUCAUUCAAGUUUUAUUUGGCCAUUUCAGGUGUUUUCUCAAGCAGCUCAGCAAAGAUUUGGAUACUAUUAAAUAUUCACUCAACAAAGACUUCACUACUCCGCUUAUUCAGGAGUAUAUUACUAACCCACUAAAAAGAGUAUUUCCAUGAUAAAAAAGAUGUAAGGUUUUUCCCAAAGGCAUUUUCCCUAGUGGCAACAUUCCAAGCUUAUUUUCCAAAAUACACAAUUUCCCAAGUGGCAACUUUCCAUGUUUCUCCAAGCCAAAGUGCUCAGCCCCUAGCCAAUCCUAACCUCACCAAUUGGCCCCAUUACAGCCUGCGGCGCCUCAGAAGACCUUUGGGAAGUUGUCUCUUAAGAAAUUGCUCAAUUGGAAAAUUGUCACUUAAGAUAAUGCCUAUGGGAAAAUACAAUACACCAUAAAAAGAGCAAAGCCAGUGAUCUGUGCUAAAUAGAAAACCUUCAAAGAAAAACUUGAAUUUGCGCAUUCUAAAAUGAUCAUACUAUUGUUAUUGAGCUCUUAUCACAGGUUU
rnacentral:misc_RNA from 1 species